UACGUAGGGUGCGAGCGUUAAUCGGAAUUACUGGGCGUAAAGCGUGCGCAGGCGGUUAUUUAAGUCAGGGGUGAAGCCCUGGGCUUAACCUAGGAAUUGCGCUUGAGACUGGAUAGCUUGGAGUGCGGCAGAGGGAGGUGGAAUUCCACGUGUAGCAGUGAAAUGCGUAGAGAUGUGGAGGAACACCGAUGGCGAAGGCAGCCUCCUGGGCCAGCACUGACGCUCAUGCACGAAAGCGUGGGGAGCAAACAGG
rnacentral:rRNA from 1 species